UUGAUGUCAAAUCUGGCAUAAGAUUUUAUAGUACACAUUUGGGGUGAUUGAGUGCAAGGAAAAAAUUAUCAAGCAUGAAAUCAAACUAUUAUUAUUGUUGCAAAAUCAUAUCCGACAAAAAGCCUCCUCGUGGGGUUAUUGAAUAUUUCUUUAUGCAGCUGUUUUUAUUGUGGUUAUUUUGAUAUUUGGUUACAAGACCAAAUAUGUUAUGAUUAUUUAAUUUUUUGAUAAUCUAGGACUGUAUUUUUGAUUAUUUGAUUAUCUUGUUUCGAAAAAUGAUUAAUGAUUCUGUGAUUAUAUUGGUAAAAAAAUUGUGAUUAUUUGAUCAUUUAGACACCCCCAUGAGGGGCCUCACAAAAUAUAAUCUCUAUUGAAUAUAAUUGAAUAUGAUAAAAAUGUUAAAAGGGCAAUUCAAGUUUAAAGUUGUAUAGCAUUGCGCUUAAACACAAACAAACAACACAUGGUGUAGAUAACUGUACGUGGUAGAGACGCACAGUUUGAUUCAAUGUAAAUCCAUCAAUGUUUUGUGAUAUGUUCUCAAACACUUUUAAAUAUUUGAUUAUAUAAUAUAACAAAACAAUUAUCACUGAUCUAUUUGGAUUCAAAAUCCGUUUUUCUGAUGAAUGACAAAUAAUUUCAUUUGAUAGAAUAGAUGCAUUAUGUCAAAAAC
rnacentral:lncRNA from 1 species